CCUACGGGAGGCAGCAGUGAGGAAUAUUGGUCAAUGGACGCGAGUCUGAACCAGCCAUGCCGCGUGCAGGAAGACUGCUCUAUGAGUUGUAAACUGCUUUUAUACAAGAAUAAACGCAGAUACGCGUAUCUGUCUGAAAGUAUCGUACGAAUAAGGAUCGGCUAACUCCGUGCCAGCAGCCGCGGUAAUACGGAGGAUUCAAGCGUUAUCCGGAUUUAUUGGGUUUAAAGGGUGCGUAGGCGGUUGGAUAAGUUAGAGGUGAAAUUCCGAGGCUCAACUUUGGAAUUGCAUUUGAUACUGUCAGGCUAGAGAGCAGUUGAGGUAGGCGGAAUGCAUGGUGUAGCGGUGAAAUGCUUAGAGAUCAUACAGAACACCGAUUGCGAAGGCAGCUUACCAAGCUACCUCUGACGUUGAUGCACGAAAGUGUGGGGAGCAAACAGGAUUAGAUACCCUUGUAGUC
rnacentral:rRNA from 1 species